AUUGAACGCUGGCGGCAUGCUUUACACAUGCAAGUCGAACGGUAACAGGCCGCAAGGUGCUGACGAGUGGCGAACGGGUGAGUAAUGCAUCGGAACGUGCCCAGUCGUGGGGGAUAACGCAGCGAAAGCUGCGCUAAUACCGCAUACGAUCUCUGGAUGAAAGCGGGGGACCGAAAGGCCUCGCGCGAUUGGAGCGGCCGUUGUCAGAUUAGGUAGUUGGUGGGGUAAAGGCCCACCAAGCCAACGGUCUGUAACUGGUCUGAGAGGACGACCAGCCACACGGGGACUGAGACACGGCCCAGAGUCCUACGGGAGGCAGCAGUGGGGAAUUUUGGACAAUGGGCGCAAGCCUGAUCCAGCAAUGCCGCGUGCAGGAAGAAGGCCUUCGGGUUGUAAACUGCUUUUGUACGGAACGAAACGGUCCUGGUUAAUACCUGGGGCUAAUGACGGUACCGUAAGAAUAAGCACCGGCUAACUACGUGCCAGCCGCCGCUGUAAUAC
rnacentral:rRNA from 1 species